UACGGAAGGCAGCAGUGGGGAAUAUUGCACAAUGGGCGAAAGCCUGAUGCAGCUAUGCCGCGUGUAUGAAGAAGGCCUUAGGGUUGUAAAGUACUUUCAUCGGGGAGGAAAAACAAAACUAAUAAUUUUAUUUCUUGACGUUACCCGAAAAAGAAGCACCGGCUAACUCCGUGCCAGCAGCCGCGGUAAUACGGAGGGUGCUAGCGUUAAUCAGAAUUACUGGGCGUAAAGAGCACGUAGGUGGUUUUUUUAAGUCAGAUGUGAAAUCCCUGGGCUUAACCUGGAACUGCAUUUUGAAACUGAAAUACUAGAGUAUCGUAGAGGGAGGUAGAAUUCUAGGUGUAGCGGUGAAAUGCGUAGAUAUCUGGAGGAAUACCUGUGGCGAAAGCGGCCUCCUAAACGAAUACUGACACUGAGGUGCGAAAGCUGGGGAGCAAACAGGGAUUAGAUACC
rnacentral:rRNA from 1 species